UAGGGAAUCUUCGGCAAUGGGGGGAACCCUGACCGAGCAACGCCGCGUGAGUGAAGAAGGUUUUCGGAUCGUAAAGCUCUGUUGUUAAGGAAGAACGAGUGUGAGAAUGGAAAGUUCAUACUGUGACGGUACUUAACCAGAAAGGGACGACUAACUACGUGCCAGCAGCCGCGGUAAUACGUAGGUCCCGAGCGUUGUCCGGAUUUAUUGGGCGUAAAGCGAGCGCAGGCGGUUAGAUAAGUCUGAAGUGAAAGGCAGUGGCUCAACCAUUGUAGGCUUUGGAAACUGUUUAACUUGAGUGCAGAAGGGGAGAGUGGAAUUCCAUGUGUAGCGGUGAAAUGCGUAGAUAUAUGGAGGAACACCGGUGGCGAAAGCGGCUCUCUGGUCUGUAACUGACGCUGAGGCUCGAAAGCGUGGGGAGCGAACAGG
rnacentral:rRNA from 1 species